GCGCACGCAGGCGGUCUGUCAAGUCGGAUGUGAAAUCCCCGGGCUCAACCUGGGAACUGCAUUCGAAACUGGCAGGCUUGAGUCUUGUAGAGGGGGGUAGAAUUCCAGGUGUAGCGGUGAAAUGCGUAGAGAUCUGGAGGAAUACCGGUGGCGAAGGCGGCCCCCUGGACAAAGACUGACGCUCAGGUGCGAAAGCGUGGGGAGCAAACAGGAUUAGAUACCCUGGUAGUCCACGCCGUAAACGAUGUCUACUUGGAGGUUGUGCCCUUGAGGCGUGGCUUCCGGAGCUAACGCGUUAA
rnacentral:rRNA from 1 species